rnacentral:rRNA from 1 species
UACGUAGGUGGCAAGCGUUGUCCGGAUUUACUGGGCGUAAAGAGCGCGCAGGCGGUCGUUCAAGUCGCGUGUGAAAUCCCCGGGCUCAACCUGGGAACUGCAUUUGUGACUGCAUAGCUAGAGUACGGUAGAGGGGGAUGGAAUUCCGCGUGUAGCAGUGAAAUGCGUAGAUAUGCGGAGGAACACCGAUGGCGAAGGCAAUCCCCCUGGACCUGUACUGACGCUCAUGCACGAAAGCGUGGGGAGCAAACGAGG